rnacentral:rRNA from 1 species
UACGGGGGGGGCAAGCGUUGUUCGGAAUUACUGGGCGUAAAGGGCUCGUAGGCGGCCAACUAAGUCAGACGUGAAAUCCCUCGGCUUAACCGGGGAACUGCGUCUGAUACUGGAUGGCUUGAGUUUGGGAGAGGCAUGCGGAACUGUAGGUGGAGCGGUGAAAUGCGUUGAUAUCUACAGGAACUCCGGUGGCGAAAGCGGCGUGCUGGACCUUUUCUGACGCUGAGGCGCGAAAGCUAGGGGAGCAAACGGG